UACGUAUGGUGCGAGCGUUGUCCGGAAUUACUGGGCGUAAAGAGCUCGUAGGUGGUUUGUCGCGUUGUUCGUGAAAACUCACAGCUUAACUGUGGGCGUGCGGGCGAUACGGGCAGACUGGAGUACUGCAGGGGAGACUGGAAUUCCUGGUGUAGCGGUGGAAUGCGCAGAUAUCAGGAGGAACACCGGUGGCGAAGGCGGGUCUCUGGGCAGUAACUGACGCUGAGGAGCGAAAGCGUGGGGAGCGAACAGG
rnacentral:rRNA from 1 species